rnacentral:rRNA from 1 species
AACGAACGCUGGCGGCGCGUCUUAAGCAUGCAAGUCGAACGGCAAGAGAGGAGCUUGCUUCUCUCCUAGAGUGGCGGACUGGUGAGGAACACGUGGGUAAUCUACCCUUAAGAUGGGGAUAGCUGCUAGAAAUAGCAGGUAAUACCGAAUACACUCGGCAUAUCACAAGAGGUGUUGAGGAAAGGAAGCUACGGCUUCGCUUGAGGAUGAGCUUGCGUCCCAUUAGCUAGUUGGUGAGGUAAAGGCCCACCAAGGCGACGAUGGGUAUCCGGCCUGAGAGGGUGAACGGACACAGUGGGACUGAGAUACGGCCCAAACUCCUACGGGAGGCAGCAGCUAAGAAUAUUCCGCAAUGGACGGAAGUCUGACGGAGCGACGCCGCGUGGAUGAAGAAGGCUGAAAAGUUGUAAAAUCCUUUUGUUGAUGAAGAAUAAGGGUGAGAGGGAAUGCUCAUCUGAUGACGGUAAUCGACGAAUAAGCCCCGGCUAAUUACGUG